ensembl:lncRNA
UAAAAGUAGGACAAAGUCGGAAGCUUUAAGUUAUAGUCAUGCCAGGUUGUGGAGUUCUUCCUUGGACUGUCAACUCUUCUUUGUGUGGAAUUAUGUUUUACAAGUUUUUGGAACAACAGAAGAACCCAAUACAGACCUUUAUUAGCCUUUUUUGCUAGGUAUGGGCCAUAGACAGUCUAUGGUAUGAACGCUAGCUAAUGAAGUAGCAUAUUAAGCUAUACGCAUAGCCUGUAUGGAAUGAAUGGGCAGUUGACCACCGCUUACCGAACAAAGCUUACCGAGUGGAGUGAAAACCAGAUAUCGCUCUGAACUGCCAGGUUCCUUUCGCCACUUUGAAGGUGUAGGACAGGACAGGGAGUUUCUGGUGCCACGAGGUUUCCAUGAAAGCCCGGACGUCACCUCCAUGGUCACAAGCUGACAGGCGAAGGUCACAUCUGGAGCAGGCCAGCUCAAAGCUUUUCUCUCCAUUUUUCUUUGAUUCCUUCAAAGUCCCAAAACUGGACGAACACUCCUUGUUUCUAGGGACCUCAAGCUGCCCCCUGAGAUGCUGCCCUGUGUGGCUGCCCAUGUCGCCCCCAUGCUUAAAUUCUCUGCUGGAACGAACCGUAAUUAUAGUGAACUGAAAACAAAUUAAAACAAGUGACUG